rnacentral:lncRNA from 1 species
GCACACCUCGGUAUCAAGAUGUCAGCAGAUCAAUCAAUCGAUUUAUCGGGCUCAUCUUAAUAGACUUAACCCGAGCGAAAAAAAACAUCACACCUCGGUAUCAAAAUGUCAGCAGAUCAAUCAAUCGAUUUAUCCGGCUCAUCUUAAUAGACUUGACCCUAGUGAAAAAAGAGAGUGUAUCUUGUGAUUGGAUGUUGUUAGCUACCCGCAGAAGCCCACUACACUCACAGUCUUCUUUUCCAAGGAACAGGCAGCCUACCUGGCUACAUUGGACUUGAUAUCUCGUUUACCGCUACAACAACAAUGAACUGCGUAGAAUAUAAUACAGAAAAAAAUGUUUCUUUGUUGCCACAACAUAAUACCACACCUUUAGUGCUCAUUUUUAAAUAACAGGUUUUACCUUUGUAUCUUCAUUUAAACAUUUUUUACUAGUAGUCCGGUGGACUGUAGACAUCACGAACGCCUAGUUUUCCCUAGUGGCGGCUGCCAAUUGGUUGCAUUCUUUAUGAUUUACUUAGGUUCUGAAUUUAAUAUCUCCAUGAUUAUUUGUUAAAAAGAAAAAAAUGGUUUUCUAAAAAAUGGCCGCCAGCCGCCCGAUCGGACCCACCCAAGAACUAAUGAGCAAAUUUCCUUCGUGUGCUAAACACACCCACCUAAUUUCAUUCGAAUUGGACUAAGCGUUUGACAGUUAUCGCGUAACAAACAUCCAAACUAAAUGCAAAAUCGUCGAGUUAUAACUAGACACACUUCGUUCGGUCAAUUAUUAUUUUUGUGAAUUACAAGGUUUCGCGAAAGUUGCGUAGUGGUGGUAGACCCUAGUUUUGUGGGAUUAUUUUCUAUCAUAUAAACUCAACUUUGAUUGUACGCUUUUACUUCCUUAAUUGCCUCGGACAGGUAAUGUAAAAACUGCGUUGUCUCUUAAAAAAAAAAAAAAAAAAAAAAUACAGCAUAGUAUGCUGCUGUAGUUAUAGGGAACAGUGUAAGACAAGUCUAGCUGAAAUCAAAGUUGUGUUUAAACUCGUAUGAUUGGAAAUGAUCUCGCAGCUUGGGAUUUUCCGCUAAUACCCAUGCUUCGGGCACUCUGUAUAAAAAAAAAAAAAAAGCAAUGCUAGUUCACUGGUUGCUCAGGAGUUUAACAUAUAAUCUACUUGUUUCUCGCGAGGCUCACUGGACGCUGAAAAACACCCAUUCACUUAAUAGUUUGAAUCCUGGUCUCCACUGCGCCAUGAGAGCUGACAUCAGGUACAAUAUGAAAAAGUAAAACAUCUUUAGUAAAAUAAAACAAUAGUCAUUGAAAAACUUGUAUUGAAAAUAUAUUGAAUUGUAAUAAACGAGAGGAACAUUCUACAAUUCUACAUGUUUAUAAGAACUGGAAUGAUUUUUUGAUACAAUAAUGAACCGGGCUAAUAUAACAAUUUAUUGCUUUCUCAUUUUUUGUAGAGAUGUAACAAGGGACAAGACUUUGAUUUUGAUAGCUUACCCUGUGAGUAAAGUUGACGCACAAAGCAGAGACUCGUUUUUUUCCGUGUCCAACUCGUUGAUUAUUUAAUUGUUUAGUAAUUUGUGUCCAGAAUAUUUAUUGUACGUAUGGUAUGAAUGAGAUAAAAUAAAUUAAUAAAUUUAAACAAAUGAAGGUUGGUUAUUUCCAAUUGUACAUAUUAAACUAUUUUUAUUUCUCUUGCAGCUAUCAAUGUGAAAACAAUAUUAUAAGGACGUAUCUACGUAACAUGGGGGCCAGACGACUUACGUGAAAUUUCCCGAUAACAGACGAGUUCCGUGCGCUCCGCGAGAAGUCACUAUGGAUAAAAAAUUGUUUUUCAAAUUCAUGCAGUCUAAAAAAAAGU